rnacentral:lncRNA from 1 species
ACCCCCUGCCCAACCCAUUUUACCCCCUUUUAACUAAAACCCUAGACCUAACAUCAUCAGAGACCUAACACCCCUAGACAUCGAUCAACGCCAUUCCCAUCGAGCAAUAGAUCCCCCUCCCCCAAAACUUCAUUUUCUUCACAAAAGACCUAAGCGAGUUCUUUAUCUUCAACCAGCAAAACCCAAGUCAGUCGUUGUUCCUUCACCUCACACCAGACGACCCUAUCUCCAUCAGCUACUCACCCAGAAUCUAGCACAUCAACAAACGCCUAAGUCUAAAAGAGCAGCUCACAUCCAGUUCUGUUUCUUCUUCAACAAAAUCAACGACCUCUCACCGUAGCUGACCCCCAAAAAUCAGCACACACAAGAACGCCAUUCAGAAGAUAAAAGUGAAAAACAGGAGCGCACGCGAAAUGAUUAAGACAAAAAAACUGAGCAACUGGAAUUUUGAAAUUGAAAUCAGAAAUUUUUACUGUUUCUGCCGCUGGCAAGUUUGGCCCGUUGAUUGUUGUUCCUCGCUCGUUCUCUGUUGCUUUGGGAUCUGCUGAUCUUUGCACUUCCACUAGCCUUCAUUCAGCUAUUGUUUUCUCUGUUUAUCCUGCUCUUAAGGUGCACACUAGAAUCUUCUGUAUUCUUGAUUAUGUAUAUUGAUGAAUUGAUUAGAAUUGCUUCUGAAUUUGUUGGAUGGAUCUUACAUGAGUUCAACUGCUAUGUUUUAUGAAUCAGUAACAUCUUAAGGUGUUAUGAAAUAUCUGAGUUUGAUUCCAAUUUCCCAAACUUGUGGUGUUCCAUGAAAUCAAGUAUGUUAGACGUGAGUUAAGCAAUCUACCAAGAGAGUUUAGAUGGUGUUAUUUUCUUGAUUACAGUAAUUCAAUUCCAAUAGCAUGUUUUCUUAAAGUAUAUGAUUUUUUUAAUUAUCAUUUCCAGAUUUUUUUUGGGGUUUUCUAUUUUUUUCAAUUGUUUUUCUUUUGACGGGUAGAUGUUUCAAAAGGGGUUUGUAUGAUGGGUAAUAUACAAAGAAAUUUGGUAAAAAUUACCCACAUUUGAUUGUUCUAGGAUUGACUGCCCAUAAGGUAAUUUGUGAUUCAAUAAAAGAAGCAUGAUGUCAAAACGAACUUCAGUGAUCAACUUUCGAGAGAUAUAAGUUUUAUUGAUUUUAUAUUCAUACAUGAGUGGUGCUGUAUUAGUUACUCAAAUAUUAGCUUUUCUCGGUUGAUCUUUGAUUGGUUAGCGAACAUCUGUAGCUUGCUUUAAGCACGUUUUAUAACAAACAAUCGUGGUUAUGGGUACGAUUCCCUUGACUUAGUCAUGGUGUCUAAUUCCCAAAUUCGGGGGUUUAUUUCAUGUAACCCGAUCAUAACAACUUCAAAUAAUAAAAUCUUUUGAAAUAAAUUGAGGCGUGCCAUGCCAAGCAAUAUUUAUAAUCCAUGUCCCUCAUAAGAUUAGAUUGAGGAACUCACACUUAUAUAAAAGAUUUGAGGUGUGCCGUAAAUAAAUUAAAUCAUCCAUGGACCUCAUAAAUGUAGCUUUUAAAAAUUGAACAAUCGUAGUUUGCUUUGGGCUCGAUUUAGAUUAGUAUUGUGAUUAUGUAUACGUUCGUGUAACAUAAUUGCGAAAUUAAAUCUAAAAUAACUCGAGGGAUGCGUUCGCGCAACUUCAACCAAACUUUUCUAAAAAUAAACAAAGCGUUAUUAAUUGUGGACAAUUCCGUGUGACAUGAUCUUUGAUGCGCCGAAGGAAAAGCGUAUACGUACGCAUAACUCAAAUCUUUAAAUACGAAUAAUUCAAGUGAUUAAAAGCGGUAAAAGGUAAAUGCACAUAGGUCUUAAAAAUGAGCAGUUAAACAAUUUAAGCCAAGUAACAAUUACUAAGCGAUCGUGCUAGAACUACGGAACCCGAGAAUGCCUAACACCUUCUUCCGGGUUAACAUAAUUCCUUAUCUAGAAUUUCUGGUUCUAGACUCUUUAAAAAUAAAACUUCUGCGAUUUGGGAUUUAACAUAAACCGGUGACUUGGAACACCAUAAUUUAUUCCAAAUGGCGACUCUGAUUAAUUAAAUAAUCCCAUAUCGAAUAAUGUCACUUUAAUUGAAAAAACUCCCAUACACCUCUAUUGGGUGGAAAAAAGAGACGUGACAGCUCUGGCGACUCUGCUGGGGAUAAGAACCCUCAACCGGAUUUAUUGUUGAUAUUACUGUAUUUUAUGGACCCAAUGUGCUAAUUGCCAUUUUUACCUCUUUUAUAUUAGUUGAACUGUAUUGAAAUGCCUUCUUACGCCUCCCUUCUGAGUCUUCUAAAAAACGGUGCUCAUGUUCACGUGGUUCACUUUUCUGUUCGAGUUAUACCCAAAUAAGAUGGGGUUGGGCAAGCAACAAGGCCGGGCAGACUUUCGUGCUCUCGGUACGUUGCCCCCUCAUCGACUUGAGUUUGUCCGCUCGGGUAAGCCAUGUCUAGAACACAAACCCCGGGUUUUAAACCUAGAAUAACGCAACCUCAUGCUGGAUCGCUAGUAGAAACGAUUAUUUGCAUCAUGUGCAUUUGACCUUGGGGACUCAACACAGGGGUUGAGUACGUCUAGGAUAGGUGUACUCGAAAUAAAAGACUCUCUUGAUGCAUCCUAUGUGCUACAUGAAUAUUUAUAUGUUUUAGCUUGCAUGUUGACCAGCUAGGAAAAGGAAAUGAAAACAAAAAAACUAAUAGUGAAGUAGGAUAGAGAAUUUACCCGAUUCCAAAAAUCCCGGUAUUUAAAAAUAUCUCAAAACUCUGCCAAAAUUUUUGAGAGAAGAGGAAAAUGAAUUUAAAAAAAGUGUGAGUCAAACAUCAUUAUUAGAAUUGUGUCAAAAGAUACCGAACUACGUGGGUCUGAUUCUCACCAGAUAUGAGAUACGUAGGCAAGCCUCAUCGGUUCCGGCCCCACUUUUUAAAAAAAUCAAAAAAAUAUUUUUCUUUAAUUCUUUAUUUAGAAGCAUUUCCUUAAAAAAAUUAAAAUAAAAUAAAAUGGGCGUCCUUCAUUUUGAAGUAUUUUUCCCAAAAAAAAAAAAUCCAAAAAAAAAACAAAAAUCCAAAAAAAUAUUCUUUUCUUAUUUAGAAGUCUUUCUUUUGUAAAUGUGCAUAACAAAAUUAAGAAAUAAAAGUCCAAAAAUAUUUUCGCUUUUCUUUAGAAGUGCCUUUGUAAAUAAAUAAAACUCAGAAAUCCAAAAUAUUUUCUUAAAAGUCCCUCUUUCGAAAAUUAUGAGGCAACUUUCAAAAGCCAAAAAAAAAUAAUUUUUUGUUUCUUCUUUAGAAAAAGAGAAAACAAAUGAAAAUUUAAUCAAAAAUAUUUUUUUUUUACUUUUGAAUUUCCCAAAGUUCCAAUCAAAAGGAAAGGAAUUUUUAGAAGUUUUUCUUUCAAAAAUAAAAGAAAAAUCAAAAUCAAAAUUUCAAAAAAAAAAGAUAUUUCCUUUCUUCUUUUAAAGCAUUUCUUUCGAUAAUUCCAAAAAGAAAAAUAAACAACAAAACAAAAAAAUCAAAUUUUUUUCUCUUUUUUCUUAAAGCUUUCAUUGUCUGAGUUUUUAAAAAAAAACAAAAAAAAGAGUUAGUUUAUUUACUCUUUUCCAAGAUCUGAUUCAUGCGGGGUCAUGAUAAAUAGGCAAUCCCCAUCGGAUUCGAUCAUAGCCAUAAAAUAAAUUGAGUGAAAAUAAUCUGAAUAAAAAGAGAGAAAGAAAAAUUCAGUGAAAAAGAAAAAAAAGGAGCGACAUGAAUUAAAAAAGUUAAAAAAGGGAGAAAAAGUGAGUGCCAAAAUAAAAGAGCGGCAAAAGUGAAAACAAAAUCAGAAGUGAUUUAAAAGAAGCAUAAAAAAAAGAAAAGAGGUAUUGAGUGAAAAAGAGAGUUAGUUAUGCCCGGGAUGAAACAUGCAACCGUUCAAACACAUGGUAGAUGUGUUUAACUGCUAGGUCCAUUGCAUCCAAACGUGCGAUUCCCUAUCUGUUAAUAUCUCAAAACUAACAAGGUUGUUGGAUGUUCAAGUUAUCCCGGUUUUGGUGGUUGGUUUUGUCGGUAGUCUAGCCUCCCCUCCUUGACAAGAUCCAAAGGCACAGAUGGCCUCCGCAAGCAAUCUACCAAUCAUCAGUUCUGAGGAAAGCCCGGCAUCGGCUAUUCCGCAGCUAGAAUCAGUAGCUAGUGAGGAGAAUAAGAUAUUGCAUCUCCGCAUAUUGGAAAUGUGGGAUGCCUGGUCUAAUGGUAGGGAACAACCAAGUGUAAUCCCUCGGUUCCCUGAGAUGAUCCCCAUGUCAAGUGAGGUUACCAAUGCCCCUGUGCCCAACUCGCUCAUCUCUUGCAGGCACCCUCCAAGGCCGUUCAAUGAUUCUGGCAUGCCUCCUGCGGUUCAUCCCCAGGCGCCAGUUUUUUGGGCACCUUCAAUAUUGUUCUCUAGAGCACUAGUCUGCACCAGAACAUAACCAACUUUACCACGGUCGUAUUUUGAGCCUCCAAUGUUCACCUUUCAAGGUCCACAACUUCAAUCAGAAAUAACAUAUGUGACCCCUUACUCUUUUCACUCAACCUCUACAAUAUGAUCUCUUGGGGGAGCAAGAAAAAGUUGUUAAAAAUCCCGAGCAAAAGGAAAUGGCUCGGAAGAUGAAGAGCCUAGAACAAAGCCUGAAAAACAUACAAGGUUUGAGUGGCCAAAAGAGUGUCUCAUACUCUGACCUCUGUAUGUUUCCCCAUGUCCACAUGCCAGUUGGCUUCAAGUUUACAUAAUUUGAAAAGUACGACGGGCAUGGAGACCUGGUCGCUCAGCUGAAACGAUAUUAAAACCAGUUAAGGGGUGCUGGUGGAAAAUACGAGCUGCUAAUGGCCUAUUUUGGGAAAAGCUUCACCGAAAUCGCUUCUGAGUGAUAUACGCAUCAAGAACUUACUCAUUGGAAUGUGUGGGACGACAUGGCUCGAGAUUUUGUCUGCAAGUUGCAAUAUAAUGUGGACAUCGCUCUCGAUAGAAACUCCUUGUCCAAUUUGAAAAAGAAAACCGCGGAAAGCUUCCGUGAAUAUGUUGCCAAAUGGUUUGAGCAAGCUGCCAGGGUAAAGCCUCCAAUGGACGAAAAUGAAAUGGUCACGGUCUCUCUGCAGGUCCAAGAGCCCGACUAUUUCCAGAACAUGAUGUCUGUUGUGGGUAAGCCAUAAGCUGAGGCUAUCAAAAUUGGGGAAAUGGUUGAAAAUGGUCUAAAAACGGGUCGAAUCCUGAGUCAUGCUGCUUUUAAAGCCACAUCACCAGAUGUUCAAAAUUGUUUGGAUGGUUUGAUGAACAAAAAUGAGAGUGAGGAGGGAGCCAUGAUAGUUUCAAGCACGAAGGGGGCGCGCAANNNNNNNNNNNNNNNNNNNNNNNNNNNNNNNNNNNNNNNNNNNNNNNNNNNNNNNNNNNNNNNNNNNNNNNNNNNNNNNNNNNNNNNNNNNNNNNNNNNNNNNNNNNNNNNNNNNNNNNNNNNNNNNNNNNNNNNNNNNNNNNNNNNCGGGAUGAAGAAGCUCCUAAUGUGAUGAACAAUUUGUUGCUUGCCCACAACAUCGGGCCAAUAGUCGGAAUGAUUUCUGAAGCUGGGGAAUUUGAUCCAGCACUGAAGGUCGUUGUAUCCAUUGUCAAGACAGAAGAAAAGCCAAAAAUGGUCGCCAAGCAUGAAAGUUCCUCAUCAGGCCGGAGUCUUAGUAGCCAGUUGAUAUUAGGCUGUAUAGAUGAUAUUUACACCUUAAUUAUACCAUGAUUUAUUGUUGUUUUAUAGGCGAAAUGAUAACAAAAUGCUCUAAUUGGUAUUCUUUUGCUUCGCAGGGACUAAUCCAAGUUAGGAAGAACUAUAGAGUGUUUCGGAGUCAAUAAUGUUAAGAAAACAUCCAAUCAAGAAGCACCCGAGCAGAAUGAAGUAAAAAGUGGACUAUGUUGGAAUCCACUGAGACCGCGUUGGACCGCGACAGGCCAUCAACGCGAGGCAGAAUGUUUGGCUCUCACCGCGGUCGUGCCGCAGUCUGCUGCGGCCGCGGUGAACUGUGCAGUUGCCAGAAAUUUUUUGGACCAAAGUGUAACUCGGGAAAAACUUAUUCCUAACCCUUAUAAACUCUAGAAGCUCGCCCAAGAAAUUAUUAAGCUAUUUUUAGACUACUUUGGAGGCAAGAACAAGUGUGAGAAAAUCAACAAAACAUUAGAGUUUUUCUAUCUCUCUUUAUUAUUGCAAUUACACGUUACGAACAAUUUAGUAGUUUUUUCUUGCUUUGUUAUGAGUAGCUAAACAUUUAAUCUAGAGUUAAUGGAACCAAUUGUUUGAUGAGGUUUUGACUCAAAUUUGUUAUAAGCGAUCCGGAUUUAUUAUAUGAUUGUUCAACUACGUUUUGUACGGUGAUUAAUUGAAUGGCCCUUGAUUAAUCGUGUCUAAUUGCCUUGAGUUGCUUGAGAAAGAAUACUAGGUUAGAUUGCUGUUGAACAAUACCACUUUUGAGUAAUUGAAGAGAUUCAUUACUUGAACUUAAAAGUGGGGUUAGAGAUAACGAAACUUUGGUGGGAUAAUUCAGAGGUGCACGAAUUGUCAGCUAGAGUAGUUCGAGAGAAUGCUUGAGUAAAUUAUCGUAGCUGAUCGAGAGAUAAUUAAGAUAACCCAUAGCUCAUAAUCCUCAUAGAAUUAUUACGGUGAGAUUAUAGCAAAAGAUUUAAGACUUAAACUAGCAAUUGGGGAAAUUAAUACCCUAGACCUUUUUACCAUUGAAUUAUCUUUGAUUGAGCAUAUUGUUAUUUUUAAUAUCAUUUGAAGUAUAUAAACAAAAACCCAAUCUUUAUUGAUCAAAAUCUUGCAUCUGGAAUUUGUUUGAAUUGAUAAUAACAUUGCCAAGAUUUGUAAUAGAUAGGUUAGUUCCCUGAGGAUUCGACUCCGAAUUUAAAACCAGAUUAUAUUUGCAACGACCGCUUUGUCUUUUAGAAGGCAUAGAUGGGCGUGAUCAAAUUUUGGCAAAGUUGUCGGGGAAUUAACGAUUUUAUUUAUUGCAACUUAGAAGUAGUGCUAGAAUUAUUAGUUUAGAUCAAUUUUCGAAGGUGUUAAACAAAUUUUUUUUCAUUGAAAUUCUAACAUUUGAACUCUUGUGGGAUUCAAGUGUAUGCCUUGGCUACCCUUUGGGGAUAUCAGUGUGGAAGGCCGGGGAAGUGCUUCCGAUGGCUCCUUGGAAGAUAUUUUCUUCGAGCUCAUGCGCCCGGAGGAGAUGGAAUCUAGAGGUGCUGACGCCGUGGUGGGUCUUUGAGUGCUUAAGCUAGGACCUACGCCUUCACUAUAUGUGCCCCUUUGUUUCUUUGCUUCUGUGUAGAGACCCUUUGUGGGCUUUUGUAAUCAUAUGUAUGGAUCUCUCGGGGUCGUUGUAGAUGGAAUUUUAUGAACAUGAAUAUAUUCCUUUGAUUUCUUCUUUUGAGUUUUGCUUUGUAACUGCAUAUUUUCAUACCCCUCGAAGCCCUUUGAAUGCCUUCUUUUACUUCUGGACUGCUGAUAUCUGACUUUGGUGCGAGCAUCCUUUCUGCUUAUUUACUGAUCAUGGCUCUCUUUCGAGCCCAUCAUCGUACCUCGAAGCAAUCUAGGAUGGCUUGGUCAGGCCCGGGCUUUCACGGCCCUUCGAAUUAU